UACGGGGGGGGCAAGCGUUGUUCGGAAUUACUGGGCGUAAAGGGUGCGUAGGCGGCUUUCUAAGUUGGAUGUGAAAACUCUGGGCUCAACCCAGAGCCUGCAUCCAAAACUGGAGAGCUUGGGUACUGGAGGGGAAAGCGGAAUUCCUGGUGUAGCGGUGAAAUGCGUAGAUAUCAGGAGGAACACCGGUGGCGAAGGCGGCUUUCUGGACAGUUACCGACGCUGAGGCACGAAGGCCAGGGGAGCAAACGGG
rnacentral:rRNA from 1 species